AGGGAGGUGGGGCCGCGUAGGUUUAUGAGAGCUGGGGGGCGGGAGUGUGGGUCCUGCUGCCAGGCCUCGUGCCUGUCUCAUUAAUUGGGGGAGUGAGUGCACGGACUUGGGUGCAUCGGGGGUGGCAUCCUGAAUCAUAGAUUAGGCUAUAAUGACAAUCAGUAACAAAGACCCAAUAACCACUCCCCUAAAAUGUGACCUUGGACUUCGGGGCAAAAUAAUGUCGCCCAUCUGUCUUUGACCCACAUUCUCUGGCUCCUGUCUGCAGGGUUGUACAGGCUGGCGGAUCACUCACCCUCUGACAAGCUCACGUGAACGCACGUAUGGUCGGGUGCAUGUACAGCACACCCAGAGGCAAAUCAAGAAGUAAUUAUAGAACAAGCUUUCUGGCGCCUCAAACACAGUCACACCUCCUCCAAGAGCUGGGAAAAUGGAAAGAAACAGUUACCCCAGCUGUGUCUGGAUACCGACUACAUUGGGAGGCAGAAACCCGACAGUUUGAACUUCGUCUGUGGUCAUAAGGAUGGCAAGCCUCUUUCCAGAAAGCAACUAUUGUACUCACCAGCUUUCCAAACACCUGACCCAUUGCUCCUUUGCCUUUCAUGGUCAUUUGGAAAGACCUGAAGGACUGGUAAGGGGAAAGGAAAGGUGGCUGCCUGUGACAUGGAAUUGUAAAGGAACAGCACACACGGGAGAUAUGCUUCCUGCAUCUGUAUUGAGG
rnacentral:lncRNA from 1 species